rnacentral:rRNA from 1 species
UCCAUGGGUGGGGGAUAACACUGGGAAACUGGUGCUAAUACCGCAUGACACCUGAGGGUCAAAGGCGCAAGUCGCCUGUGGAGGAGCCUGCGUUUGAUUAGCUAGUUGGUGGGGUAAAGGCCUACCAAGGCGAUGAUCAAUAGCUGGUUUGAGAGGAUGAUCAGCCACACUGGGACUGAGACACGGCCCAGACUCCUACGGGAGGCAGCAGUGGGGAAUAUUGGACAAUGGGGGCAACCCUGAUCCAGCAAUGCCGCGUGUGUGAAGAAGGUCUUCGGAUUGUAAAGCACUUUCGACGGGGACGAUGAUGACGGUACCCGUAGAAGAAGCCCCGGCUAACUUCGUGCCAGCAGCCGCGGUAAUACGAAGGGGGCUAGCGUUGCUCGGAAUGACUGGGCGUAAAGGGCGUGUAGGCGGUUUGUACAGUCAGAUGUGAAAUCCCCGGGCUUAACCUGGGAGCUGCAUUUGAUACGUGCAGACUAGAGUGUGAGAGAGGGUUGUGGAAUUCCCAGUGUAGAGGUGAAAUUUCGUAGAUAUUGGGGAAGAACACCGUGCGAUGCGCACCUGCUCAUUACUGACSCUGAAGGGCSSCGGAAAGCCGU